UACGUAGGGUGCAAGCGUUGUCCGGAAUUAUUGGGCGUAAAGAGCUCGUAGGCGGCUUGUCGCGUCGGCUGUGAAAACCUGGGCUCAACCCCGGGCCUGCAGCCGAUACGGGCAAGCUGGAGUUCGGUAGGGAGACUGGAAUUCCUGGUGUAGCGGUGAAAUGCGCAGAUAUCAGGAGGAACACCGGUGGCGAAGGCGGGUCUCUGGGCCGAUAUUGACGCUGAGGAGCGAAAGCGUGGGGAGCGAACAGG
rnacentral:rRNA from 1 species